GCUGGCGGCAUGCCUAACACAUGCAAGUCGAACGGUAACAGCGGAAGCUUGCUUCCGGCUGACGAGUGGCGGACGGGUGAGUAAUACAUAGGAAUCUGCCCUGUAGUGGGGGACAACCUGGGGAAACUCAGGCUAAUACCGCAUAAUCUCUACGGAGGAAAGGGGGCUUCGGCUCUCGCUAUUGGAUGAGCCUAUGUCUGAUUAGCUUGUUGGUGGGGUAACGGCCUACCAAGGCGACGAUCAGUAGCUGGUCUGAGAGGAUGGUCAGCCACACUGGGACUGAGACACGGCCCAGACUCCUACGGGAGGCAGCAGUGGGGAAUAUUGGACAAUGGGGGAAACCCUGGUCCAGCAAUGCCGCGUGGGUGAAGAAGGCUCGCGGGUUGUAAAGCCCUUUCAGUAGCGAGGAAAAGCUGAGUGUUAAUACCACUCAGUCUUGACGUUAACUACAGAAGAAGCACCGGCUAACUCUGUGCCAGCAGCCGCGGUAAUACAGAGGGUGCGAGCGUUAAUCGGAAUUACUGGGCGUAAAGCGCGCGUAGGCGGUUUGAUAAGUCGGAUGUGAAAGCC
rnacentral:rRNA from 1 species